CUCCAUAUAAGCACAGCAUCUGAGCAUUCUUCACCGAUGCUUGGUGGGGAUAUUAGCUGUGUUCUCUUACACCCUUUAGCUGUCAAGUACAUCAGAAGUGGAGGCUGUGGGGACAGGACACCACUAAUGCCAACCAUUAGUUUAAAUUCACACUUGGAUCUGUUUCCAACAUUUCUGCUUUUGUCAUCAUCACAGACGUUGAGAAAGAAGGGCCUUAAUGGCUGUGACAGCCCAGACCCCGAUGCGGACGAUUCCGUAGGUCACAGCCCUGAGUCUGAGGACAAGUACAGGAAAAUUAACGAAGAUAUUGAUCUAAUGAUCAGCAGGCAAAGAUUGUGUGCUGUUCCACCUCCCAACUUCGAGAUGCCAGUCUCCAUCCCAGUGUCCAGCCACAACAGUUUGGUGUACAGCAACCCUGUCAGCUCACUGGGAAACCCCAACCUAUUGCCACUGGCUCAUCCUUCUCUGCAGAGGAAUAGUAUGUCUCCUGGUGUAACACAUCGACCUCCAAGUGCAGGUAACACAGGUGGUCUGAUGGGUGGAGACCUCACAUCUGGUGCAGGCACCAGUGCAGGGAACGGGUAUGGCAAUCCCCGAAACUCACCAGGUCUGCUGGUCUCACCUGGUAACUUGAACAAGAAUAUGCAAGCAAAAUCUCCUCCCCCAAUGAAUUUAGGAAUGAAUAACCGUAAACCAGAUCUCCGAGUUCUUAUUCCACCAGGCAGCAAGAAUACGAUGCCAUCAGUGUCUGAGGAUGUCGACCUGCUUUUGAAUCAAAGGAUAAAUAACUCCCAGUCGGCUCAGUCAUUGGCUACCCCAGUGGUUUCCGUAGCAACUCCUACUUUACCAGGACAAGGAAUGGGAGGAUAUCCAUCAGCCAUUUCAACAACAUAUGGUACCGAGUACUCUCUGAGUAGUGCAGACCUGUCAUCUCUGUCUGGGUUUAACACCGCCAGCGCUCUUCACCUUGGUUCAGUAACUGGCUGGCAACAGCAACACCUACAUAACAUGCCACCAUCUGCCCUCAGUCAGUUGGGAGACCGUACCACCACCCCUUCGAGAUACCCACAACACACGCGCCACGAGGCGGGGAGAUCUCCUGUUGACAGCUUGAGCAGCUGUAGCAGUUCGUACGACGGGAGCGACCGAGAGGAUCACCGGAACGAAUUCCACUCCCCCAUUGGACUCACCAGACCUUCGCCGGACGAAAGGGAAAGUCCCUCAGUCAAGCGCAUGCGACUUUCUGAAGGAUGGGCAACAUGAUCAGAUUAUUACUUACUAGUUUUUUUUUUUCUUGCAGUGUGUGUGUGUGCUAUACCUUAAUGGGGAAGGGGGGUCGAUAUGCAUUAUAUGUGCCGUGUGUGGAAAAAAAAAAAGUCAGGUACUCUGUUUUGUAAAAGUACUUUUAAAUUGCCUCAGUGAUACAGUAUAAAGAUAAACAGAAAUGCUGAGAUAAGCUUAGCACUUGAGUUGUACAACAGAACACUUGUACAAAAUAGAUUUUAAGGCUAACUUCUUUUCACUGUUGUGCUCCUUUGCAAAAUGUAUGUUACAAUAGAUAGUGUCAUGUUGCAGGUUCAACGUUAUUUACAUGUAAAUAGACAAAAGGAAACAUUUGCCAAAAGCGGCAGAUCUUUACUGAAAGAGAGAGCAGCUGUUAUGCAACAUAUAGAAAAAUGUAUAGAUGCUUGGACAGACCCGGUAAUGGGUGGCCAUUGGUAAAUGUUAGGAACACACCAGGUCACCUGACAUCCCAAGAAUGCUCACAAACCUGCAGGCAUAUCAUUGGCGUAUGGCACUCAUUAAAAAGGAUCAAAGACCAUUAAAAGAGGACCAUACCUAUUAAAAAAAAAUGUGGAGUUGGAGGGCUAACGUAUUUAAUUAAAUAAAUAAAUAAAUCUGGGUCUGCAUCUCUUAUUAAAUAAAAAUAUAAAAAUAUGUACAUUACAUUUUGCUUAUUUUCAUAUAAAAGGUAAGACAGAGUUUGCAAAGCAUUUGUGGCUUUUUGUAGUUUACUUAAGCCAAAAUGUGUUUUUUUCCCCUUGAUAGCUUCGCUAAUAUUUUAAACAGUCCUGUAAAAAACCAAAAAGGACUUUUUGUAUAGAAAGCACUACCCUAAGCCAUGAAGAACUCCAUGCUUUGCUAACCAAGAUAACUGUUUUCUCUUUGUAGAAGUUUUGUUUUUGAAAUGUGUAUUUCUAAUUAUAUAAAAUAUUAAGAAUCUUUUAAAAAAAUCUGUGAAAUU
rnacentral:sRNA from 1 species